rnacentral:rRNA from 1 species
GUGGGAAAGGUGAAAAGAACCGUGAACAACGGAGUGAAAUAGAUCCUGAAACCAUACGCUUACAAGCGGUCGGAGCCCUUCGGGGUGACGGCGUGCCUUUUGCAUAAUGAGCCUACGAGUUACUUUUACUGGCAAGGUUAAGUCCUUUAGGGACGGAGCCGUAGCGAAAGCGAGUCUUAAUAGGGCGCUUUAGUCAGUAGUAGUAGACGCGAAACCGUGCGAUCUACCCAUGGGCAGGUUGAAGCUGUGGUAACACAUAGUGGAGGACCGAACCCGUUGACGUUGAAAAGUCUUGGGAUGACCUGUGGGUAGGGGUGAAAGGCCAAUCAAGCUCGGAAAUAGCUCGUACUCCCCGAAAUGCAUUUAGG